rnacentral:lncRNA from 1 species
UUGACCUCUAGGGUCCAGGUUUUUUGUGUUGUUUAAUUGCGGUCUCAAUAACAUAAUCCCUAAAGUUAUUUUCCAUUAAUAAUAGACAAAGGACAAAUUACAAAAAAACCAGAAUAUCCUAAUCAUUCAUAUAAACUUAUAAUAACUGUUAAUUUUCCUUCAAAAUAUGUUUCACACAUCUCCUUCGUUUAGAUAAAUUUCAAAGUGAAACAGAAAAUGGAAGCCAAAUAAUUAAAAUUUAGAUCAAUUGAAAUAGCCUCCCCACUUAAAAAAAAAAUAAAGAACAAAUUUUAACAGAAAAAAGGGGGAGGGAAACCUAAAGAUACAGAAUUUAAAUAAAGUGAUACAAAGAU